rnacentral:rRNA from 1 species
UACGGAGGGUGCGAGCGUUGUCCGGAAUCACUGGGCGUAAAGGGCGCGUAGGCGGCCUGAUAAGUAGGGGGUGAAAUCCUGCGGCUUAACCGCAGGGCUGCCUUCUAGACUGUCAGGCUAGAGCACAGUAGAGGCAGGUGGAAUUUCCGGUGUAGCGGUGAAAUGCGUAGAUAUCGGAAGGAACACCUGUGGCGAAAGCGGCUCACUGGACCAUAACUGACGCUGAGGCGCGAAAGCUAGGGGAGCAAACAGG